rnacentral:rRNA from 1 species
GACAGAGGGGGCAAGCGUUGCUCGGAAUUACUGGGCGUAAAGGGCGCGUAGGCGGGAUGGCAAGUCGGUCGUGAAAUCCUUCGGCUCAACCGAAGAACGUCGAUCGAUACUGCUGUUCUUGAGGGUUGCAGAGGAGACUGGAAUUCCCGGUGUAGCGGUGAAAUGUGUAGAGAUCGGGAGGAACACCGGUGGCGAAGGCGGGUCUCUGGGCCUUACCUGACGCUCAGGCACGAAAGCUAGGGGAGCGAACAGG